AAAUAAACAGAACUUAAGUUCACAUUAACUUUAUAGAGAAAAUGAAAAGUACGAGACGGAGCGGGUGCCAGCAGCCACGGCACAUGGUACAAGGACAUUUCUAAAAGCAACGUACACUUUGCCUCUGUUCAUUUAUUUACUCAGUCAACUGUUCUGGCAAUCACUUAGGCUAGGGGUUGGUACUCCUAGUUGCCCCUUCGCCAUACCAAGCGCCACUUCUCGACGCAUUCACUCAAACACGGUUUGUAUUUGAAUUUCCCUCAUUGCGCAUUCAGGCGUUGCCAUGACCCUCUCCGCCUGCCGGCAAUGGCCAACUUUCACCAACGAAUGCAAGAGGGGCAGGCGGAGGGUGAAAAGCUCAACUGGCUGGGGCUGGGCUGGGCCUACGCACAUGCCACGACCCUUAACACUUUCGGUGGAGCCAGUUAACCUUGCCAGAGUGAGAGCGUCCGCAAUGUGGGUUAAGCAAUUGCGCCUUCCAAUUGGCUCUGCAGGGCAGGAUGGUGCUCUAGUUGCUACGAAACUAGAACUGGGACCGCUUUUCGUUUCCUUUGUCAUUUCUUUUGUAUUGUCAACAACUCGGCUGCAAGCCGAGCAGCUGCCAGUGCUGG
rnacentral:lncRNA from 1 species